rnacentral:rRNA from 1 species
GUCAACGGUCAUACUACGCUGAAAAUACCAGUUCUCGUCCGAUCACUGCAGUUCAGUAGCGUAGGGCACGGUUAAUACUUGGAUGGUUGACCACCUGGGAACACCGUGUACUGUUGGCG